rnacentral:rRNA from 1 species
CCUACGGGAGGCAGCAGUAGGGAAUAUUGCACAAUGGGCGGAACCCUGAUGCAGCAAUGCCGCGUGAAGGAUGAAGGUUUUCGGAUUGUAAACUUCUUUUGUACGGGACGAAGAAAGUGACGGUAACGUAAGAAUAAGCCACUGACAACGACCGGCCAGCAGCCGCGGUAAUAAGGAGGUGGCAAGCACUAUUCGGAUUUACUGGGUGUAAAGGGGGAGUAGGCGGGAUUGCAAGUCAGAUGUGAAAACUAUGGGCACAACCGAAGGAGUGCAUUUGAAAUUGUUGUUCUUGAGUGUGGGAGAGGCAGGCGGAAUUCCCGGUGUAGCGGUGGAAUGCGUAGAGAUCAGGAGGAACACUAGUUGCGAAGGCGGCCUGCUGGACCAUAACUGACGCUGAGGCGCGAAAGCGUGGGGAGCAAACAGGAUUAGAUACCCUGGUAGUC